UCUUCAUUCUUCGUGCUCUCUCGCCGGUCAGAGAGACGAGAGAGCACGCAGAAUCAAGAGA
rnacentral:pre_miRNA from 1 species